AUGAUACCAUUUUGGCUCUCUCUUCCAACAAGACAGCAUAUCUUACAAGCCUCUCAAUCCUUCACAAAAGUAAUGAGAACCUCCUGGGUUUGGGAAAUGGGGCCCAAACAGAAGAACUGGGGAGGGGAGCAGGGAAGUGUCAUGCACCCCUUUCCUGACUUCUCACUGGUGUCAUUGUUAGCUUCUCAUGUGCACAUGCUUUCUUGCAGCCCCAGAUUGCGGAUGUCAUUCAUCACAUACUCCACGCAGGGCAACACCAUCAUGAAACUCACCUCAAACAGAAAUGUAAUAAAGAAUAGUCUUAAAAGACUUCGGAAUAUAGUGCCUAAAGGAGCCAGAAACAUGCAGGAAGGAUUAAAAAAGGCCAAUGAGCAGAUUUACAAAGUUCAGUCCAGCAGUAAGUUGUCUGCCGAUGUCACUGUGCUCAGGUGGGACACAGCCCAGCCCGGGCCUCAGCGAGGGCUGCUGCAGACCCACCUCGGCCAAUUCCUAGUGCUGAUGCUUGGAGCAAAUUCCUUGCCCUCACUGUGCUGCAGGUUCCUCCUCUGCACAGUGAGGAAGAAAACCACCCCCAGGACUGUGUCUGAGAACCACCUGGGGUCAUGGCUUACACUCCUGGUUCUUUCUAGAUCGCAGGUUCUUGAUGUGUGAUUGGGCUGCAUGGAAAACAAAAGAGAAAAUCGAGGGACCGCAAGCAGACAGGGUUCAGUUUAGGGACCAGAGACCUUGCUGUCCCCCUGGCUGCCCACACUUUUGUCCCCCGCAGUUCUGGCUCUGCCUCCACCCCUUCAGCUUCUUCCCUCUGGUUGAGUCUCGUCCUGUGACUGUGCCUCUGAUGGUGGAAAAGCCUGUGCUCUCCCAGAACCAUCUACAUCUAGAGUGUAGGGUUGCAGCUCCUGCAGGAAAGAUGCGUGGGCUGGUGGGGACAGGUAGGGAGCAGGGCAGGGGCCACUGCACAGGCACCUUGACCUCGAGUUCUGAAGGCCAGGACCCAUAGAGCCAGCAGAGGUGCGUGUCAGCAAUGCCCAGGCCAGAGCCCAGCUGUCCCCUGAUCCAGUGGGAAGCCUUGUACAGUCCAUGUGGCUGCUCCUCCCUUGCUCCCCUAAAGGCUUGUCCUCACGCAGUGACGUGGCUGGAGCUUCCUUUCAGGGCAAAGGCUGUGCCUUCUGCUCGUGGUGAGGGUCACUAAGAAGAUCUCUGAGCUGGUCUCAGACUCCUCAUGUGUCAAGUGGGUGCUGGGUUAAGGCCUCCUCUCUCUGCAGGCGCUCUGGUUGGUGGGUGCUAGGGUCAGGGUAGCCUCUCCCCAGGAGGAGGAUGUAUGGUGGGCAGUGCUGCAGCCCUGCCAUCUGAGACAGGUCACUCCAGGGCCUCUCCCUGCUUGUUCUGCAGACUUUGGCGCUUCUAGCCUGAUUUUCACUCUCACUGCUGGACCAUUGCAGCCGUCAGCAGUACAGGAGACUAAGCAGGAAGUGAGUCCCAUCCAUCAUCACUAGCUUUGUGCUCCACAUAUUUGCGUGUUUUAUACUCAAUGCCUUCUUUCACGU
rnacentral:lncRNA from 1 species